UGGGGCGUAGCCAAGCGGUCUAAGGCACCGGUUUUUGGUACCGGCAUUCGCAGGUUCGAAUCCUGCCGCCCCAGCCA
rnacentral:tRNA from 1 species